UUAAAGGCAUGCGCCACCAAUGCCCGGCUUCCAGAUGAAUUAUUUUUAACAGUACAAACCACUGAUCUGCAUCCAGAGAAGCAGGGUUGUCCUUGGAAAUUCUCAGGAGUGGGGUUUGAUCAAGCAGAGUGGAAGGCAGCUGGCCUCCCACACCAACUUAGAUUUGGAAGGCUCCAGCAAUUAGCAGACCACAUGGCAUCUUCAGCAUUCACUGGCCUUCCAGCUGCCUGCUGCGUAGGUCUUGCUUUAUUUGGCAAAUGGUUGAUGAGAGGCAAAGGUUAAAGAGGAAGGGAGACUAUGGGGAGUUUCUGUUUAGGGAGUCGACCCCGAGCCAGCGAGCCCUUGUCUGUCCUGUGCAAGCUUUUACCGUGUUACUGUAGUGUUGCAGAACAGUAGUGUUGCUGUCCUCAUGCCCAUUUCCAGAUGCACACACUGAGGCCCAGAAGUGUCUGGCCCAAGGACUAUGUGGCUAAUUGGUAACAAAACCCAGAACUAACAUGCAUCACCUCCUUGGAUCAGGUUGUUCUUUCUAGAGAGAUGCCUCUCCCAGAGCUCGUGCAAAUAGUCAUAUACACAACUGGUCAAAGAUUUGCUGACCACAGGAAUCACUCCCUACUUCCUCCCUUCAAUCUUUGUAUGGGAUUGGAUACGACCUGCAUAUGUCAACAGGGAUCAGAGGCACCUGUCACACUGGUGCUUUUGUAGAAAA